UACGUAGGUGGCGAGCGUUAUCCGGAAUGAUUGGGUUUAAAGGGAGCGUAGGCGGGUUGUUAAGUCAGUUGUGAAAGUUUGCGGCUCAACCGUAAAAUUGCAGUUGAUACUGGCAUCCUUGAGUACAGUAGAGGUAGGCGGAAUUCGUGGUGUAGCGAUGAAAUGCUUAGAUAUCACGAAGAACUCCGAUUGCGAAGGCAGCCUGCUGGACUGUAACUGACGCUGAUGCUCGAAAGUGUGGGUAUCGAACAGG
rnacentral:rRNA from 1 species